AGGCUAGAUACAUUAGUGAUGCUAAAACAGUUGUAGUGUGGUAAUGCGCUGUGCUGUGUGGUCACAGUUGGCCUGUGUGCGAGGUUUAUACAGGGUGUGUUGCUCUAGUGUGGGCUAUUUGAAAACUGCGCAUUUUAAUUAUGUUGAGACUCGUUAUUCACAAUUUUUAUGCCGCUGUCACCUGCAGAUCGUUCAACAUUUUUAACCAGCAUUAUCCCAAUAACA